AUUGAACGCUGGCGGCAUGCCUUACACAUGCAAGUCGAACGGUAACAGGUUAAGCUGACGAGUGGCGAACGGGUGAGUAAUGUAUCGGAACGUGCCCAGUCGUGGGGGAUAACUGCUCGAAAGAGCAGCUAAUACCGCAUACGACCUGAGGGUGAAAGCGGGGGAUCGCAAGACCUCGCGCGAUUGGAGCGGCCGAUAUCAGAUUAGGUAGUUGGUGGGGUAAAGGCCUACCAAGCCGACGAUCUGUAGCUGGUCUGAGAGGACGACCAGCCAGACUGGGACUGGGACACGGCCCAGACGCCUACGGGAGGCAGCAGUGGGGAAUUUUGGACAAUGGACGCAAGUCUGAUCCAGCCAUGCCGCGUGCGGGAAGAAGGCUUUCGGGUUGUAAACCGCUUUUGUCAGGGAAGAAACGCUCUGGGUUAAUACCUCGGGGUAAUGACGGUACCUGAAGAAUAAGCACCGGCUAACUACGUGCCAGCCGCCGCCGUAA
rnacentral:rRNA from 1 species